rnacentral:rRNA from 1 species
GAUGAACGCUAGCUACAGGCUUAACACAUGCAAGUCGAGGGGCAGCAUGGUCUUAGCUUGCUAAGGCCGAUGGCGACCGGCGCACGGGUGAGUAACGCGUAUCCAACCUGCCUUACACUCUUGGACAGCCUUCUGAAAGGGAGAUUAAUACAAGAUGUUAUCAUGAGUAAGCAUUUUCGCAUGAUUAAAGGUUUACCGGUGUAAGAUGGGGAUGCGUUCCAUUAGAUAGUAGGCGGGGUAACGGCCCACCUAGUCGACGAUCGAUAGCCGGACUGAGAGGUUGAUCGGCCACAUUGGGACUGAGACACGGCCCAG